GAAAGUUGAAACACUUUUGUGUUUUUUCUACGACUGCCAGUCUACCAUCUUUCAUGGUAUUAUAGUUGUGCUCCAGAUAGAGAACUCUUAUUGAUCUUGAGUGAUCCAAAAUGAUCAUCUGUGCGUGGAUAUUUUGCAGACGUCAUCUGUAGCCUGUCAGUGAUCAUUAUCGCACGUCACACAAAUCAAAGGGGAACGUUUCCCCCUCUCAUCCUGUUCUGCAAAUCAUUUUCCGUCUUAUUUGAAACCUUAACGCUGCUCCUUCACUCGGCACAUCUGCUGUCCAUCCUCAUCCUCUCAACCGACGUGAGGAAGAGGAGGACGAGGAUCUCGCAUGAGAGGUGAUGCACGAGUUUCCAUGGUUGAAAUGUGACUGCUGUUGGCCGUGUCGUCGGUUUGAAGAGCAUGACACCAUGCAGAUGCAGCGCUGAGAGGAGAUUCUUGUGUGUUUGAGUCAACAGCAGCUGUGCUCGCUGAAGAAGAGAAGCUGUCCAAAGAGCUUUUCACAGCACAGAAAAGAAACGCCGCUCAGGAAAAGGAAUCUCUCAGCAGCCACGCUGACAUCAUUCAAGUAUGCGUCAGACACUUAGAGUGGGCCCCUCGAAAGACAACAGUCCGCCUGCUUGCCUUCGUGUGAGUGUGUGUCUGCGCAAGGGUCUACUGAAGUGCAUAUGUGUAUUCACGUUCUCACCUGUUCCUCUUUGACUUGUCAACCUCCCGCGUUCACCUCUUUUCUUCCUGAAAUCAAAAUGGUGUGUAUGUGUGUGUGUGUGUGUGCUCAUCUUCUACUAACGCUUCAAAAGAAGCAGAUGUGAAUGUGUGGAUCAAAUUUAUUUCUAGUUUGGGUUAAAAAUCCAAGAUCUGCUUUUGUGAUUGACGUGUGUGACAUGUUCUUUAUGUGUGUGUGUAUUCAUAUUGGAAGACGCUUACUUGACCAUGUAUGGUAAAAAAAUUCCAAUCACACAUCUAGUAAAGUGAAUGAUGUUGACAAGACUGCAGGUCACAACUGAAGAGUGCCAGAGGCUGAUGGCCAACAAAGUCAGUUCAAACAUGACAUUUUGGUUGAGUUUUUUAUUUAAUGUUUGUUUUCCGAUGAUAACAGUCCAAACAUGUGGGAAAAUGCACCAGGCUGCUUCCUGUUUGAUUGCUUGGCAACCAGUGCUCAAUAUGGGCAAGUACCGUUUUGCACUCUUUCCACCUUUGGGUGCUGUGCGAAUCAAUUGCAAUGUGUGAGCAUCUUUCAUCUUCAACUCAAAUCACUUUGCCAAAGAAAAUGAAGUGAAGGACAUUGUUGUAAUAUGUGACAAAUUAGUCAAAUUGUGCUGGAACUUAAGAGGCACCAAAACUUCAAAAAUCUUCAGUCAAAAAUGGCCAAAGUUGACAAAAACUACAAAAAAUACUUUUGUAACUUAAAUACAGCCAAAACUGAAUCUCCCUCUCUCU